AACUUUCAACAACGGAUCUCUUGGUUCUGGCAUCGAUGAAGAACGCAGCGAAAUGCGAUAAGUAAUGUGAAUUGCAGAAUUCAGUGAAUCAUCGAAUCUUUGAACGCACAUUGCGCCCGGCAGCAACCUGCCGGGCAUGCCUGUCCGAGCGUCAUU
rnacentral:rRNA from 1 species